AGCGAACGCUGGCGGCAGGCUUAACACAUGCAAGUCGAGCGGGCGUAGCAAUACGUCAGCGGCAGACGGGUGAGUAACGCGUGGGAACGUACCUGUUGGUUCGGAACAACACAGGGAAACUUGUGCUAAUACCGGAUAAGCCCUUACGGGGAAAGAUUUAUCGCCGAAAGAUCGGCCCGCGUCUGAUUAGCUAGUUGGUGAGGUAACGGCUCACCAAGGCGACGAUCAGUAGCUGGUCUGAGAGGAUGAUCAGCCACAUUGGGACUGAGACACGGCCCAAACUCCUACGGGAGGCAGCAGUGGGGAAUAUUGGACAAUGGGGGCAACCCUGAUCCAGCCAUGCCGCGUGAGUGAUGAAGGCCCUAGGGUUGUAAAGCUCUUUUGUGCGGGAAGAUAAUGACGGUACCGCAAGAAUAAGCCCCGGCUAACUUCGUG
rnacentral:rRNA from 1 species